rnacentral:rRNA from 1 species
GAGAACUCGGGUGAAGGAACUAGGCAAAAUGGUACCGUAACUUCGGGAGAAGGUACGCUCUUGAUGGUGAAGUCCCUUGCGGAUGGAGCUGACGAGAGUCGCAGAUACCAGGUGGCUGCAACUGUUUAUUAAAAACACAGCACUGUGCAAAAUCGUAAGAUGACGUAUACGGUGUGACGCCUGCCCGGUGCCGGAAGGUUAAUUGAUGGGGUUAGACUUCGGUCGAAGCUCUUGAUCGAAGCCCCGGUAAACGGCGGCCGUAACUAUAACGGUCCUAAGGUAGCGAAAUUCCUUGUCGGGUAAGUUCCGACCUGCACGAAUGGCGUAAUGAUGGCCACGCUGUCUCCACCCGAGACUCAGUGAAAUUGAAAUCGCUGUGAAGAUGCAGUGUACCCGCGGCUAGACGGAAAGACCCCGUGAACCUUUACUACAGCUUGGCACUGAACAUUGACCCUACAUGUGUAGGAUAGGUGGGAGGCUUUGAAGCACGUACGCCAGUAUGUGUGGAGCCGUCCUUGAAAUACCACCCUUGUAGUGUUGAUGUUCUAACGUCGACCCCUAAUCGGGGUUGCGGACAGUGCCUGGUGGGUAGUUUGACUGGGGCGGUCUCCUCCCAAAGAGUAACGGAGGAGCACGAAGGUGGGCUAAUCACGGUUGGACAUCGUGAGGUUAGUGCAAUGGCAUAAGCCCGCUUGACUGCGAGAAUGACAAUUCGAGCAGGUGCGAAAGCAGGUCAUAGUGAUCCGGUGGUUCUGAAUGGAAGGGCCAUCGCUCAACGGAUAAAAGGUACUCCGGGGAUAACAGGCUGAUACCGCCCAAGAGUUCAUAUCGACGGCGGUGUUUGGCACCUCGAUGUCGGCUCAUCACAUCCUGGGGCUGAAGUCGGUCCCAAGGGUAUGGCUGUUCGCCAUUUAAAGUGGUACGCGAGCUGGGUUUAGAACGUCGUGAGACAGUUCGGUCCCUAUCUGCCGUGGGCGUUGGAAGAUUGAAGGGGGCUGCUCCUAGUACGAGAGGACCGGAGUGGACGAACCUCUGGUGUUCGGGUUGUGUCGCCAGACGCAUUGCCCGGUAGCUAAGUUCGGAAUCGAUAACCGCUGAAAGCAUCUAAGCGGGAAGCGAGCCCUGAGAUGAGUCUUCCCUGAUACUUUAAGUAUCCUAAAGGGUUGUCGGAGACUACGACGUUGAUAGGUCAGGUGUGUAAGUGCUGUGAGGCAUUGAGCUAACUGAUACUAAUUGCCCGUGAGGCUUAACCAUACAACACCCAAGGGGUUU